GACGAACGCUGGCGGCGUGCUUAACACAUGCAAGUCGAACGGAAAGGCCCUGCUUUUGUGGGGUGCUCGAGUGGCGAACGGGUGAGUAACACGUGAGUAACCUGCCCUUGACUUUGGGAUAACUUCAGGAAACUGGGGCUAAUACCGGAUAGGAGCUCCUGCUGCAUGGUGGGGGUUGGAAAGUUUCGGCGGUUGGGGAUGGACUCGCGGCUUAUCAGCUUGUUGGUGGGGUAGUGGCUUACCAAGGCUUUGACGGGUAGCCGGCCUGAGAGGGUGACCGGCAACAUUGGGACUAAGAUACGGCCCAGACUCCUACGGGAGGCAGCAGUGGGGAAUAUUGCACAAUGGGCGGAAGCCUGAUGCAGCAACGCCGCGUGCGGGAUGACGGCCUUCGGGUUGUAAACCGCUUUCGCCUGUGACGAAGCGUGAGUGACGGUAAUGGGUAAAGAAGCACCGGCUAACUACGUG
rnacentral:rRNA from 1 species